AACAAACGCUGGCGGCGUGCCUAACACAUGCAAGUCGAACGAGAAAGUCGGUUUCGGCCGAUGGGUAAAGUGGCGCACGGGUGAGUAACGCGUGGAUAAUCUACCCUUUAGUCCGGAAUAACUUGCCGAAAGGUGAACUAAUACCGGAUGACAUCCCGGGUUCUCCGGAAACCGGGAUCAAAGAAGGCCUCUGCUUGCAAGCUUUUGCUGAAGGAUGAGUCCGCGUACCAUUAGCUAGUUGGUGGGGUAAUGGCCUACCAAGGUUAUGAUGGUUAGCUGGUCUGAGAGGAUGAUCAGCCACACUGGAACUGAAACACGGUCCAGACUCCUACGGGAGGCAGCAGUGAGGAAUAUUGCGCAAUGGGGGCAACCCUGACGCAGCAACGCCGCGUGAGUGAGGAAGGUUUUCGGAUUGUAAAGCUCUGUCGAGCGGAAAGAAAUGCACGAUGGCUAAUAUCCAUCAUGCUUGACGGUACCGCUAGAGGAAGCACCGGCUAACUCCGU
rnacentral:rRNA from 1 species